GCAUAACGCGAAGAACCUUACCUGGUCUUGACAUAGUAAGAACUUUCCAGAGAUGGAUUGGUGCCUUCGGGAACUUACAUACAGGUGCUGCAUGGCUGUCGCCAGCUCGUGUCGUGAGAUGUUGGGUUAAGUCCCGCAACGAGCGCAACCCUUUUCCUUAUUUGCCAGCGGGUUAAGCCGGGAACUUUAAGGAUACUGCCAGUGACAAACUGGAGGAAGGCGGGGACGACGUCAAGUCAUCAUGGCCCUUACGACCAGGGCUACACACGUGCUACAAUGGUCGGUACAAAGGGUUGCUACCUAGCGAUAGGAUGCUAAUCUCAAAAAGCCGAUCGUAGUCCGGAUUGGAGUCUGCAACUCGACUCCAUGAAGUCGGAAUCGCUAGUAAUCGCGGAUCAGAAUGCCGCGGUGAAUACGUUCCCGGGUCUUGUACACACCG
rnacentral:rRNA from 1 species